CCCUGGGGUAGUCCGCAACGAGCGCAACCCUCGUGCNCUAUGUUGCCAGCACGUAAUGGUGGGGACUCGUAGGAGACUGCCGGGGUCAACUCGGAGGAAGGUGGGGAUGACGUACAAGUCAUCAUGCCCCUUAUAUCUAGGGCUGCAAACAUGCUACAAUGGCUGGUACAACGGGCUGCAAUACCGCGAGGUGGAGCAAAUCCCUUAAAGCCAGUCUCAGUUCGGAUUGGAGUCUGCAACUCGACUCCAUGAAGUCGGAGUCGCUAGUAAUCCCGGAUCAGCUACGCCGGGGUGAAUACGUUCCCGGGCCUUGUACACACCGCCCGUCACACCACGAAAGUCAGCAACACCCGAAGUCAGUGGCCCAACCCGCAAAGGAGGGAGCUGCCGAAUGUGGGGUUGGUGAUAGGGGUGAAGUCGUAACAAGGUAGCCGUACCGGANGGUGCGGCUGGAUCACCUCCUUUCUAAGGAGCAUCCGAGUANCUCACUCGGAGCACCUGUGGAGGCACUGGCUAGUNUUGGUCUGUCCGGAGCAGUCGAUACUCGAGNUUCGCUCGUAUCGCCNGGCAAUGGGCAG
rnacentral:rRNA from 1 species